UUUUUUCUUGAGUUGUCUUCAUCAUAAUCUUAACUAGUAUUUCUAUAAUGCUUUGAAAGAUUGCAAUGUGCUUUUCCUGUGGCCUUAAUGUAUCCUGACCACAAUCUAGUGAGACAGGUAUUAUUCCAAUUUUCACAGAGGAAGAUCCUGAGGCUGAGAUCAAGUGAUCUUGACCAGAAUCCCCUAGAUAGUAAGUGAUUGAGGUAGGAUUGAGUUCAAGUCUCCCUGACUUCAAGGCCAAAACUCUAUGCACUGCAACUGAUUUUUUUUUUUUUUGAUCCUACUCCCUUAUAACAUGUGACCUGAUGAAAUUAUACUUUAUGCUUUCUGAGAUCACUUCCUGAUAGUAAUUUUGAUCCUCUGACCACUGGAGAAUAUAAAUUCUUUUUUUUUUUUUUUUUGAGAUUCAUUCAAAUAAAACCGUUAGUGUGAUAAAGUGGUAGUAUUUCUUUAUGUUCACUUCUAUGAUGUAUUCUUUUUUAGGUUAUACACAUGCAUUAAUUUUUAACAUUUCCAUAUGUAUUAUGUUGGAGAAAAAAAUAAAAGGGAAAAAUCAUGAGAAAGGAAAAAAACAAAAAAGAAAAUAGUAUGCUUUAAUCUGCAUUUGGUCUGCAUAGUUCUCUGGAUAUGGGUGGUAUUUUCCUUCCAAAGGUUUUUGGAAUUGCCUUGGAUCACUGAAUUACUGAAAGGAGCUAAGUCUAUCACAGUUGAUCAUCAUUCAAACUUGCUGUUGUCGGGUACAAUGUUUUCCUCGUUCUGCUCAAAUCACCUAGUAUCAGCUCAUUAAGAACAGAGAUAAAUUCUGAGAACAUGUUGGACUAAAUCAGAAUUUUCCAGCCUCUUCAGAUUUCCUUUACAAACAAUAAAAAGCAUGGGGUAAAUCAGUUGUACUCCUUAAUUUGAGACACUUCAGAAAAGACUGGACCUUCAGAGGCUGGGAUUGGCUUGAAUGCAGUAUGGACAUGUCCAUGUUGACACUACUGAAUUAACAAACAUCAGGAUCUGGAGCAGCUCUAAAAGGAAGGGAACUAGGUGAGAGGAUUCUGGGAAGAUGACCAAAUAGAUUUCUAAAAAGGCAAACAAACAACUUUUGGCUCUCCAAAUUUCCUCUACAAAAGAAGUCAGGACAUUCCUCAGAAGGAACAUUGAGCAGCAGAAAUAAAGGGAGUUGGGGUAAAACACAGUGUCCUCCUAAGACAACUUGAAAAGAACCAAGGGAAGACCAGACCUCCAGGAUCAGAGUUUCAGCCUCAGUGAAGUACAAACCAGUGAAGGCAGACUUUGAGGAAUCCACAAACAACAUACCCUGGGGGUAGUUGGAUCAAGAGGCAGCCUCAGCCUCAGGAACUUUCACCUCAUGGAUAGUGUGAGAGUCUGAAGGCUGAGUAGAACAUUGAAGGAACUUCCCCUGUCUAGAAAUGCCAUGUGCAAUGAUGCAGAUCAGACUUGUGUGGGAUAAUAGCGAAUACUAAUACAAUCUGGAGUCGGAGUCUGAAUGCAGGAAAAAACAUUUAUUUCUUUCUCAUGAGAAAGGAUGAACAGUCUCUGACAUUCAAGAGAUCCCCACACAAACAAGCCAGAGGUAGUCCCUGGUUAUCCCCUAAGAGCUCUCCUGUCCAAACCCCUAGCUGCUUUCCAAACUAUUGGCUGGCAUUGGGAGCCCACAUUCUAAAGCAGAGUUUCUAAGAAUGCAGUGGAGGUUUUCUGCCUGGAGCUAAGGAACAAGGAAGAAGUUUUGAAAAAGAUGAAGGAAAUCUGAGGCUAUCAAAUGCUUACCAGGGUGUUUUUACAAAUGAAGCAGAUUAGCAGUGUAAUGCUGGAGAAACUGAGGCAAGACAGAAAUUAGGUUUUUAAUAUUUUAAUAAUGAAGAACUAGGACUAGCAAUUGAACAGAACUCAUGCUCCAUCUCUAGCCAGCUGAAUGGGACUCUUGUCUCAAAGUAUCCAGCAUCCAGCAAUUAAUUCCAGAGAUUUCUACAGGGCUCCAGCUAUCAGGAAAACAAAGGCAAGGGGGGGAGGGGUGAGAAACGGGGGAGGGCAGAGCACUGGAUGAGUGUGAGAAAUGAGGGUUGAGAGAUCCCCUGACAACAAUGGGACCCACUGGCUCCUCUGCAGGCUUUGCAAAGAAUCUGCAAACCCGAAUGAAUACAGGCUUCAGGUUUGUGGCAAGAAUGGGUUUAUUACUGAGAAGAGAAAUAGUUUCAUCAGCCGGCAAACUCCUGUUAGGACUUUUACUAAGAUGAGAAGCAACUUAGUGGGCAUUCCUGAUUAGGAAUUAGUAGUGAUGGAUUCACGGGUUUCUAGUUAUGUGGGAUUUGUUUUUGCUCCUAGCUUGUAAGGGUUAAAGGCCUCUGGAGCAAGGAAUGCAGUUUAAGGCAUGUGGGAGGACCUGAAGGAUGAGCGGUACCCAGGUGCAAGUGAGUCCUAUGUGGAAGUGGGGCUUAUCCCCAGGAGACAGUGUCUGACCUCAGGUACCAGUCUCCCUCCUUAGGGCUCUCAAAGACUAGCAAGCCUCCCGCCCUCUUCUCAGGCCAAUCCCAUUGUGCCAGGUUCCUAGAGGACCCCCCCCCUACCACUUCCCCCAGAUCUUCAGCGGGGUAUAAAUAUGUGCUCUCUAAGAAUAAAGUUCUCUUUCCUUCACCCCUAA